rnacentral:rRNA from 1 species
GUAUCUACAUAAAGGCCAGCAGCCGCGGUAAUUCCAGCUCCAAUAGCGUAUAUUAAAGUUGUUGCCGUUAAAAAGCUCGUAGUCGAACUUCGGUUUCUGCCGCCCGGUCCGCCUUUUUGGGUGUGUACUGGAGCGGUGGAGGCUUACCUCGUGGUGAGCAAUCAUACCCUUCACUGGGCGUGGUUGGGAACCAUGAUUUUUACUUUGAAAAAAUUAGAGUGUUCAAAGCAGGCUUACGCCCGAAUACAUUAGCAUGGAAUAAUAA